rnacentral:rRNA from 1 species
UACAGAGGGUGCGAGCGUUGUCCGGAAUCACUGGGCGUAAAGCGCGUGUAGGCGGUCCGAUAAGUCGGCUGUGAAAGUCCCGGGCUCAACUCUGGAAUGCCGGCCGAUACUGUCGGACUAGAGUCCGGAAGAGGUGAGUGGAAUUCCCGGUGUAGCGGUGAAAUGCGCAGAUAUCGGGAGGAACACCAAUGGCGAAGGCAGCUCACUGGGACGGCACUGACGCUGAGACGCGAAAGCGUGGGGAGCAAACAGG